ensembl:miRNA aca-mir-5428 aca-mir-5428
GGCAGGUUCCCUUUCUUGACUUCUAACUAGCCUCCAGCUGCCACUUGUUUUGCCUUGGCAGCUGGUGGCUAGUUAGGGGUCACGAAAGGGGCAUCAUCAGA